UGAGAAACGUCAUUUCUCCGUUUUCUACCC
rnacentral:piRNA from 1 species